ensembl:lncRNA
AUGCUGCCGUAAGCGGAGCCUCGGAGAGCCAGGAGAGCGGCAUCUCCUCCUCCUCCACCACCACCACAGAUGCCCGUCGUGCCGGUGUGUAUGGCUGUAGUCGGAUCAGUUGCCCCCAUCGGUGUUUAACAAAAAAAAAUAAAAAUAACCUGGAUCUCGGGGCCAAAAGAGUUCACGCCUCCGCUGACCAAAAGACCCGUAAAGUCCAGACAUGGCGGUCCGAGGGCACGCGCUUUCCCUGCACAGCUCACAGCAUCCUUAUCACCGACCCCAUCGCUUCUCCUGACCAUGAGAUCCCCAGCUCAACUCAAAGCGCCUUCGAUUUUUUCCCCCACAAAGCGGAGCCGGUCUCUCUCUCUGCUUCCUUCAGCAUUUGGAGACCAAAAGCAGACAGAGAACCCGAGUCAUGAGUCUUGGCAUGAUCUAAAUCUUUAAGGAUGUGAAUACCGAGCUUUACUUCUUUUUCUUUUUUUUUCUUUCUUCAUUCUUUCCUUCUUUCUUUCUUUCUUUCUUUCUUUUUUUUUUGUUGCUGUAGAUUAUUUUUGGAGGCUUGUUUUGUUUUGAAGUUUGCCAUGAAACUUGCUUGAGUUAUUGAUCCUUUUCAGUAUUAGCAUUUAUGGAUUAAGUAUCAAGCCUGUAGCCUGGUUUAUGUAACAUAAACAGAAAGGUAACAGUAAAAAGGAAUUGUAGUUGGUGUCAUUGAUCUGCAUUGCUGCACUAUUUCCAGCUGGACUACAUUAUAUAGAAAAUGCACUCUGGUUUUAUUUGAUGUAAAAUAUAAACGUACUUGUUCUUCCAUCACACUAUUUAACUCAGUUAUUUAAAAUAUAUUUGACUUAUAAAAGUGACUCAGAUCAAAUCUCACCUACUCGUUUUUCCCCUAAAAAAAAACAUUAUUUAGACACAGAAAAACAAACUGCAGUCCUAAUAAAGCAUCAGGCCUGUUCAUAAUGAUAUAUUUAUCUUCUCCAUUAUUCGUAUUCAUGAUCAUUUCUGCCCUUCUCUCUCUCUCUCUCUCUCUCUCUCUCUCUCUCUCUCUCUCUCUCUCUCUCUCUCAUACACACACGUCAUUAACACUGAGAUAUGUUUUGUUGUUGUUGUGCUCAUGAUUAUUUGAUCGUGGAACAUCUGAAAUAUGUGAAAAUGAUUAUCUGGAGCGUUUAUAUUUGUGAGCUGGAGAUAUUUUGCUGGGUUAAAACGAGCAUGUGUCGAGCAAUCCGCCUCGUCUUGUAUGAUGAUUUUUU